GAUGAACGCUGGCGGCGUGCCUAAUACAUGCAAGUCGAGCGAAGGAUUAAGAGCUUGCUCUUAUGAAGUUAGCGGCGGACGGGUGAGUAACACGUGGGUAACCUGCCCAUAAGACUGGGAUAACUCCGGGAAACCGGGGCUAAUACCGGAUAACAUUUUGAACCGCAUGGUUCGAAAUUGAAAGGCGGCUUCGGCUGUCACUUAUGGAUGGACCCGCGUCGCAUUAGCUAGUUGGUGAGGUAACGGCUCACCAAGGCAACGAUGCGUAGCCGACCUGAGACGGUGGUGGGCCACACUGGGACUGUGACACGGCCCAGAAUCCUGCGGGAGGCAGCAGUAGGGAAUCUUCCGCAAUGGACGAAAGUCUGACAGAGCAACGCCGCGUGAGUGAUGAAGGCUUUCGGGUCGUAAAACUCUGUUGUUAGGGAAGAACAAGUGCUAGUUGAAUAAGCUGGCACCUUGACGGUACCUAACCAGAAAGCCACGGCUAACUACGUGCCAGCAGCCGCGGUAA
rnacentral:rRNA from 1 species